rnacentral:lncRNA from 1 species
UCCAUAGCAAUCUGAGACUCUUUACAAUUUUCAUAUGAAACCUAAUAUUUUUCUAUAACAAAACUACAACAUAAUCCAUGAACUUGUCUAGUAUCUCCCUUUGAAUAUUUCCAUGAACUUGUCUAGUAUCUCCCUUUGAAUAUUUCCAUGAACUUGUCUAGUAUCUCCCUUUGAAUAUUUCCACCAUUCAUUUAAAUUAUGAACUACAGAUGGAGAUGAUAGUAAGCAUAUCGUCCAAUGAGAACAGUCACUUAAAGUGAAGAUUCAGUGGCCAUACAUUGUCAAAAAUGGGGGUUUGAUAUGAUUGAUUUCUCUAUUCUGAACAUUUGUGAGGACAAUUUUGUGUAAUCUAUGUCAGGCACAUGUCAAAACCAACUAGAAAAGGUUGUUUCGAUGUUGGAAGACCUUAAAUAGAUCAUCUCGAUCUCAAGACAUGCAAAUUAUCAUCAUCAUUUGAAUUUUAUCCGAACUAUUUGGGGUCAGCUACAUGAAUUCUAUUCCGCCAUAUGCUCUAUCAACGGUCAUACCCUUAGUCAAACUAUAGGUCACCAACGCCUUAGCGUAAACAUAUAAUAUUGGUUCAGGAUUCAUGAAAAGAUGUGGUAAAGUUUUACGCUAGCUGCCGACCUUACACAAUCCUCCUCCUUUAUCCGGUCAUGGGAUUGGUCAUGAUCUCGAGACGAAUGGAUAUGAAAAAAAAAAAAGAAAAAAAAAAGAAAAAAAAAAAGAAAAAAAAAAAAGAAAAAGAAAAGUAAAUGAAUUAAUGUUCUAAAGAUAAUGUAUAUUGUAAAUGGUUAUCUAGGCUAUCAAUUUUCAUUAUUUACAAAUCUGCUUGAUCUACACCACUUUUUACUCUUGAAAUUUUAUAAUUAUGGGUGAAAAUCAAAAUUUUAGGUUAUUAUUGAGGUUUUUGACAUAAAAAAUGCAUCUGGGUUUCAACAUGCACUUCACUUUGAUGGCUUAAAGUUGAUCCCCGUGUAAACCAACUCCCUGUGAAAUGGUACAUGUGUGGUUCCAACGUAAUGUGAAUGUCAUAAACAUCAUGAUUUUUUUAUAAAAGUAUUUUGAAAUGGGAUUGUAUACAAUAGGACCAUUUAUCCUUGGUAUAGGGCGGUCGCAAUAUGUAAAAUCUGAUUGCUCAAGUGCAUCACAAAGUUCGAGAUAUUUUUUUUUUAACUUUAAGCUUGGUCAAUGAAAUAAAUGCAGCUAUCCAAUUUCACAUAUGAUGGUCAAGAUUAAUUGUGUCCAUCUUAUACCAAAGGUAAAUGAUCUCAAUAUAUACUUUCCCUUUUGAAAUUUUGAUACUUCGGGUAACCACACCACGAAUCUCAUUGGAAAUUGUAGCUUUUGGUCAUAUCGAUCAUUUCUACUGUCAUAUAAAUGAGUUCCAUUUUGGAGAUCAUAGACCUAUAGAUCUCAAGCUUUAAAAUGAUCCAAUUCCUACAACACUUUCCAUACAUUUUGAAUGUUUACAAAUCUGCUGGG